rnacentral:rRNA from 1 species
UAAGGGUAAGAUCCCAGGAAGACUACCUGGUUGAUAGGUCGGAGGUGUAAGUGCAGCAAUGUAUGUAGCUUACCGAUACUAAUAGAUCGAGGACUUGACCAA